rnacentral:miRNA from 1 species
CAUGGUUCUGUCAAGCACCACG